rnacentral:rRNA from 1 species
UACAGAGGGUGCGAGCGUUAAUCGGAAUUACUGGGCGUAAAGCGCAAGUAGGCGGCUUGGUAUGUCGGGUGUGAAAUCCCCGGGCUCAACCUGGGAACUGCAUCCGAAACUGCCUUGCUAGAGUAUGGGAGAGGGAAGUGGAAUUUCCGGUGUAGCAGUGAAAUGCGUAGAUAUCGGAAGGAACACCAGUGGCGAAGGAGACUUCCGGGACCAAUACUGACUAUCAGGUGCGAAAGCGUGGGGAGCAAACAGG